rnacentral:lncRNA from 12 species
CCCCCCCCCCCCCCCCCCCCCCCCCCCCCCCCCCCCCCCCCCCCCCCCCCCCCCCCCCCCCCCCCCCCGGGGCACGGCACGGCACGGCGCGGAGUGGAGCGGAGCCGCCGCUGCAGGGCUGCCACGGUCCGGUCCCCCUGUCCGGCCGCGGAACACCGGAGCGUUGCGCAACAGGAAAACAUCUAAAAUAUGUAUGGCACAGUUUUGCCCUCGCUAAUCCAGCCUCGAGAGCGGCAGCUGAGCCGCACUCACAGCUAAGUGUGCAGUGCCCCAACAGUAGGAAUUACACGUAAGCGCAGCUUCUCCGGAGACGAUCAGGAAAAACGCACUGCGAGCAGUGAGCGGUGACGUCCCCGUUCUGCUGAAGCCCCACCAUAGCUCGUCUCUUCAACUCCGCCGAUCUCCGCCUCCAAGCCCUGGCACCUAUGCCAAGCCCUGGCACCUGUGCCAAGCCCUGGCUGCAGAACCCUCCGGCACGGCCGAGCUGCCCUGCCGGGCUGCCCCGUUCCCUCUUUUCCCUGCGCUCCCGGCAGGGAGCAGCACCCGACCGCCGCGCCGCGCCGCGCCGCGCACCCGCACGUACACACACACCCGCGGGCACACGCAGAGGGACACACGGACGCACACCCGCUCCCUCUCACCGCACUCCCGCCCCGCACCGGCUCCCGGCGCGCUGCUCGGCCCGGCCGCCGGCACCUCCCAAGGUCACGCCCCCCCCCCCCCCCCCCCCCCCCCCCCCCCCCCCCCCCCCCCCCCCCC